AGGACGAACGCUGGCGGCGUGCUUAACACAUGCAAGUCGAGCGGAAAGGCCCUUCGGGGUACUCGAGCGGCGAACGGGUGAGUAACACGUGAGUAAUCUGCCCCUAGCUCUGGGAUAGCUCCGGGAAACCGGGAUUAAUACCGGAUACGACCACCUUAGACAUCUUUUGUGGUGGAAAGAAUUUCGGCUAGGGAUGAGCUCGCGGCCUAUCAGCUAGUUGGUGGGGUAAAGGCCUACCAAGGCGACGACGGGUA
rnacentral:rRNA from 1 species